rnacentral:rRNA from 1 species
CCUACGGGAGGCAGCAGUGGGGAAUCUUAGACAAUGGGGGCAACCCUGAUCUAGCCAUGCCGCGUGAGUGAUGAAGGCCUUAGGGUUGUAAAGCUCUUUUAUCCGGGACGAUAAUGACGGUACCGGAGGAAUAAGCCCCGGCUAACUUCGUGCCAGCAGUCGCGGU